rnacentral:rRNA from 1 species
AACAAACGCUGGCGGCGUGCCUAAUACAUGCAAGUCGAACGGGGAAAGCCUUCGGGUGAGUACUAGUGGCGCACGGGUGAGUAACGCGUGGAUAAUCUGCCCUCGAGUGGGGAAUCACUAGUCGAAAGAUUAGCUAAUACCGCAUAAGGCCACAUUAACUGAGGCUGAAGGGGUCAAAGGAGCAAUUCGCUUGAGGAUGAGUCCGCGUAAGAUUAGCUAGUUGGUGAGGUAACGGCUCACCAAGGCGACGAUCUUUAACUGGUCUGAGAGGAUGAUCAGUCACACUGGAACUGAGACACGGUCCAGACUCCUACGGGAGGCAGCAGUAGGGAAUAUUGGACAAUGGGGGCAACCCUGAUCCAGCGACGCCGCGUGAGUGACGAAGGCCUUCGGGUCGUAAAGCUCUGUUGCAAGGGAAAAACAAAAUGAUGGUACCUUGCUAGAAAGGAUCGGCUAACUUCGUGCCAGCCGCCGCGGUAAAAC